rnacentral:rRNA from 1 species
UACGUAGGGACCAAGCGUUGUUCGGAUUUACUGGGCGUAAAGGGCGCGUAGGCGGCUUAACAAGUCACUUGUGAAAUCUCCGGGCUUAACUCGGAACGGCCAGUGAAACUGUCAAGCUAGAGUGUGGAAGGGCAAUCGGAAUUCUUGGUGUAGCGGUGAAAUGCGUAGAUAUCAAGAGGAACACCUGCGGCGAGGCGGGUUGCUGGGCCGACACUGACGCUGAGGCGCGAAAGCUAGGGAGCGAACGGG